UGGAGAUCGAGUCAAGGGUUGCCCAGGGACACUUAAGAGCCUUCGGCUUCAAGGAGGCCUCUCAAAGGACAAAGGAUGAGACUGCCUGGCGGCAGAGUGCCCCCCACAAUCGUAGGAACUGUGUCGCCGCGCUUCCCGUUAACUUGCCGCUAAGUUUUUCUAGAAAAGUCGCCCUUCUUGCCAGGGGUGUCCUAUAGACUUUGUCAUGGAGUGAAACAGAAACAAAUGAAACCACUGCCAAGAACGAUGUUAUAAAGGCUUUCCUCCACGUUCUCAUCUAGGAGUUUUAUAGUUUCAGCCUCGUGAAGUGCCAGCUCCCUCUUUGCCCUCCACCAUGACUGCAAGUUUCCUGAGGCCUCCCAGAAGUUUCUUGAGGCCUCCCCAGAAGCCAAGCAGAUGCCAGCAUCAUGCUUCCUGUACAGCCUGUAGAAUCAUGAGCCAAUUACACCUCUUUUAUUUAUAAAUUACCCAGUCUCAGGUAUUUCUUUAUAGUAAUGUGAGAAUGGACUAAUACAGACAGUGAGAAAAUUAGCCAUAGAGUACAUUAUAUGAGGGCUCACAUCCAGAAAUCAACACAUCAAUAAGAAAAAGCAGACAAUCCAAUAAGAAAAAAAUGGGUAAAAGUCUUAACCAAGCUUUCAUAAAAAAGGCUGUCCUAAUAACCAACAGACAUGAAAAGGUGUUCAGUUUCAUUAGUCAUUAGGGAAAUGCAGAUUAAAACUUCAAUGAAAUACAACUUAUGUACAUCAGAAUGGCUAUGAUUUAAAAGACAGAUAAUACCAAAUGUUGACAGGAAUAUAAAGCAGCUGAAACUCUCACACACUUCUUAGUUUGUGUAUAGUUUGGUACAACCACUUUAGAAAAUCAUUUGGCACUAUAUAGUAAAACUAAACAUAUACAAACCUAUAACCCAGCAUUUCUACUCUGAGAUAUUUACCAACAGAAAAUGCAUACACACACAGUUAUCAGAAGAUGUGCAAAUUUUCAUGGUAGUGUUAUUAGUAAUAGUCAAAACUGGAUGUAACUUAUAUCCAUCAAUAAAAGAAUGGUUAAUAAAUAAAGGUAUUUUUCAUACUAUGGAGUUCUAUACAGCAACAGAAAUGAACAAGCUAUUGCUGUACACAACAAUAUAGAGUACCUAUUCUAUUAUUCCAUUUAUAUAAAAUAGGUAAAACUAACAGACAAGAGUAACGUAGUGGUAGAAGUUAUAAUAGUGGCUACCUUGAGUAUCAUUCAUUUAUUCAUUAUUUUUGUAAAAUUAGCACCAUACAUAAUUUUGCAUUCUGCUUUUUUCACUUCAGAUUUUAUUUUGAGCAUUUCCCCAUAUCAUUCAAUAUUCCUUGAAACUAUAAUUUUAAGGGCUAUUUAACAUUUCAUCAUGAUUUAGACAUUAUAUUAGUAGACUUAGUAUCUUUAAAGGAUAAAUCAACACCACAAAACCACCAGCGAUAAUUGAUAUUACAAG
rnacentral:lncRNA from 1 species